UACGAAGGUCCCAAGCGUUAUCCGGAUUUAUUGGGUUUAAAGGGUGCGUAGGCGGGCUAUUAAGUCAGUGGUGAAAUCCUGCAGCUUAACUGCAGAACUGCCAUUGAUACUGAUGGUCUUGAGUACAUUUGAAGUGGGCGGAAUGUGUCAUGUAGCGGUGAAAUGCUUAGAUAUGACACAGAACACCGAUUGCGUAGGCAGCUCACUAAACUGUAACUGACGCUGAGGCACGAAAGCGUGGGGAGCGAACAGG
rnacentral:rRNA from 1 species